rnacentral:rRNA from 1 species
UACGUAGGUGGCAAGCGUUGUCCGGAAUUAUUGGGCGUAAAGCGCGCGCAGGCGGUUCUUUAAGUCUGAUGUGAAAGCCCACGGCUCAACCGUGGAGGGUCAUUGGAAACUGGAGAACUUGAGUACAGAAGAGGAAAGCGGAAUUCCACGUGUAGCGGUGAAAUGCGUAGAGAUCUGGAGGAACACCGGUGGCGAGGGCGGCAUCCUGGACCGGUAUUGACGCUGAGGCGCGAAAGCCAGGGGAGCAAACGGG